GGUUUCGAUCAUACCAGCACUAAUGCACCGGAUUCCAUCAGAACUCCGCAGUUAAGCAUGCUUGGGCUAGAGUAGUACAAGGAUGGGUGACCCCCUGGGAAGUCCUCGUGUUGCAACCC
rnacentral:rRNA from 1 species